UACAGAGGGUGCGAGCGUUAAUCGGAAUUACUGGGCGUAAAGCGCGCGUAGGCGGCUUUGCAAGUCGGGUGUGAAAUCCCCAGGCUUAACCUGGGAACUGCAUUCGAGACUGCAUUGCUAGAGUAUGGGAGAGGGAAGUGGAACUUCAGGUGUAGCGGUGAAAUGCGUAGAUAUCAGGAGGAACACCGGUGGUGUAAACGGCUUUCUGGACCAACACUGACGCUGAUGAGCGAAAGCCAGGGGAGCAAACGGG
rnacentral:rRNA from 1 species